UGCUUUGGCCUCAGCCUGCAAGCUAGUAGCAACAUCAAAGCAACCAGCGAAAGCGAAGAUGAACUUCCCUGAGCCAUCCCUAAGAAUCCCCCCACCACCACUCAACCCCGGGUUUCCUUUGGAGCACCCAUCUAUGUUAAGUUUAAACAUUGACAGCCGUGGAGCCUGCCAAUGAACCAGACGAAACUUAACCACAUCAGGGCGUUGCUCCACCAAACCCAAGAAUUGGGGCCAAGAUGUGACCUGUUGUAAUUCCCCAAAUUUCAUCCAGUAUGCGUCUUUCAAGUUUUGAAAAAUAGAUCGAUAAAUAGAUCGGACAUCCUUGAUAACCCCUUCAAACACUGUUGAAUUCCUUGUCUUCCACAAAUUCCAACACACAAAUACGGGUAGGAGCCGAAAAACAAAUUUUAGCCUCUUGGACUUAGUAGGCUUGUACCACCAAUUCGCCAACUGUACGGUUAAAUGCUC
rnacentral:lncRNA from 1 species